rnacentral:rRNA from 1 species
AGUCGAACGAGAUUUGGGACUUCGGUUCCAAUGAAAGUGGCGCACGGGUGCGUAACACGUAUGCAACCUACCUUAUACAGGGGGAUAGCCCGGGGAAACCCGGAUUAAUACCCCAUGGUAUAGACGAAUCGCAUGAUUUGUUUAUUAAAGAUUUAUCGGUAUAAGAUGGGCAUGCGUCUGAUUAGCUAGUUGGCGGUGUAACGGACCACCAAGGCUACGAUCAGUAGGGGUUCUGAGAGGAAGGUCCCCCACACUGGCACUGAGAUACGGGCCAGACUCCUACGGGAGGCAGCAGUAGGGAAUAUUGGGCAAUGGACGAGAGUCUGACCCAGCCAUGCCGCGUGCAGGAAGACGGCCUAUUGGGUUGUAAACUGCUUUUAUACGGGAAGAAAAGGCCCAUGCGUGGGACAUUGCCGGUACCGUAUGAAUAAGCACCGGCUAACUCCGUGCCAGCAGCCGCGGUAAUACGGAGGGUGCAAGCGUUGUCCGGAUUUAUUGGGUUUAAAGGGUGCGUAGGCGGCUGAUUAAGUCAGCGGUGAAAGACUUCGGCUCAACCGGAGCAGUGCCGUUGAUACUGGUUAGCUUGAGUAUUGGAGGGGUACAUGGAAUUGAUGGUGUAGCGGUGAAAUGCAUAGAUACCAUCAGGAACACCGAUAGCGAAGGCAUUGUACUGGCCAAUAACUGACGCUGAUGCACGAAAGCAUGGGUAGCGAACAGGAUU